AACGAACGCUGGCGGCAUGCCUAACACAUGCAAGUCGAACGCGUGGCUUCGGCCACGAGUGGCGCACGGGUGAGUAACGCGUGGGAACCUGCCCAUCGGUACGGAACAACCGCGGGAAACUGCGGCUGAUACCCGUAUAUACCCUACGGGGGAAAGAUUUAUCGCCGAUGGAGGGGCCCGCGUCGGAAUUAGGUAGUUGGUGGGGUAACGGCCUACCAAGCCUGCGAUCCGUAGCUGGUCUGAGAGGAUGAUCAGCCACACUGGGACUGAGACACGGCCCAGACUCCUACGGGAGGCAGCAGUGGGGAAUAUUGGACAAUGGGGGCAACCCUGAUCCAGCAAUGCCGCGUGAGUGAAGAAGGCCUUAGGGUUGUAAAGCUCUUUC
rnacentral:rRNA from 1 species